GUAAUAGAAUGAGAAGCGAUUUGCUCACUCUGAAUAUUAUCAUUAUUCUCUUUCCUUCUUUCAUUCCACAUUUGUAUUUCCACUGCUAUUGAUUUUUCUCUAUCAUUUCCUAAUUCAGUAAUUCCAUUCACAAAUGAACUGACUCGAGUUAUAUUAUCAUUCUGAGAUGAGUGGUCACAACUUCCUUCUCCAACUUGGAUGUGAAAGCCUUUUAUCUUCUUUCGCGAAUG